CCGGCUCCCGCGGCCGGUACUAAAUUUAGAACUUCGCUUCUACUCCUCUUCGGAAAUGGGGAUGGGAACCACAACCUUGGCAUGUUGGGAGGAUGCUCUAACCAACUGAGCCACCAGCCACGGCAGACUUUGUUCUAAGUGGAUUGAGAACCAUUCAAGGGUUUAAGCAAGAUGGGAAACCAGCGUUUCAACACCACAGCACUCACCUCGGGGAAGCAUCCUAAAGAACUGCGGAAAUUUUGACCCUCAGACCUUAAAAAG